CUAGAACUAGUACUUGGUUCCGGUGAUAAUUCAUUUGUUGAUCUAGGAGGCUGGAAGAGAGAUGGCGACAGACGAUGGUUUCUUUUGGAUGUGAAGACUCGAGGAUAAGAGUACCAGCUAGGGCUGAAGGGUUGCUUGCUUGUAGAUUCCCAGUGGGUGGAUGAUGAUUCGGAAGGAGACACUGAGGAAUUAACACUGGAACAGAUGGCUGUAGGUGCAUGAUCAACAUCUUGUUGCUCCUCCUGGGACAAUCAGGUCAAAGUGGUUAGAUGGUUCUUCCAGCCAAGAAAUGACAGUUCAUCAUCGCAUGGAAGUCCAAAGAGACUAAUUUACCUCCUUUGAAAGGGGAAACUGGGACGUCAUGGUUCUUGAUCCUGACAAACCAAAUAGGCGAAUGAACCCAAAAGCUGCAGCACUUCUAAGAAAAAACCUCAUAUUCUCUGAUAAUUACCUCUAGAAGCAGAUGAAUUCACCCAAGACACCUGCCUUGGUGACUGCUGAAAGUUUGCAGGCAUACUUCCUGACACCAGAUCGGACAAGGGACCUGUACCGGUACUUCUACUACCGCCC